GACGAACGCUGGCGGCGUGCCUAAUACAUGCAAGUAGAACGCUGAAGGAAGGAGCUUGCUCUUUCCGGAUGAGUUGCGAACGGGUGAGUAACGCGUAGGUAACCUGCCUGGUAGCGGGGGAUAACUAUUGGAAACGAUAGCUAAUACCGCAUAACAGUAGAUAUCGCAUGAUAGCUGCUUGAAAGGUGCAAUUGCACCACUACCAGAUGGACCUGCGUUGUAUUAGCUAGUUGGUGAGGUAACGGCUCACCAAGGCAACGAUACAUAGCCGACCUGAGAGGGUGAUCGGCCACACUGGGACUGAGACACGGCCCAGACUCCUACGGGAGGCAGCAGUAGGGAAUCUUCGGCAAUGGACGGAAGUCUGACCGAGCAACGCCGCGUGAGUGAAGAAGGUUUUCGGAUCGUAAAGCUCUGUUGUAAGAGAAGAACGAGUGUGAGAGUGGAAAGUUCACACUGUGACGGUAUCUACCAGA
rnacentral:rRNA from 1 species